rnacentral:rRNA from 1 species
CUGCCUUUUACUGUGGAAUAAUCGUUGGAAACGACGACUAAUACCGCAUACGGUUCUUGGAAGGCAUCUUCUAAGAAAGAAAGGAUUUAUUCGGUAAAAGAUGGGCCCGCAUCUGAUUAGCUAGUUGGUGAGAUAAUAGCCCACCAAGGCAACGAUCAGUAGCCGACCUGAGAGGGUGACCGGCCACAUUGGGACUGAGACACGGCCCAAACUCCUACGGGAGGCAGCAGUGGGGAAUAUUGCACAAUGGGGGAAACCCUGAUGCAGCAACGCCGCGUGAAGGAAGACGGUUUUCGGAUUGUAAACUUCUAUCAAUAGGGAAGAAAGAAAUGACGGUACCUAAAUAAGAAGCCCCGGCUAACUACGUGCCAGCAGCCGCGGUAAUACGUAGGGGGCAAGCGUUAUCCGGAAUUACUGGGUGUAAAGGGAGAGUAGGCGGCAAGGUAAGCGAUAUGUGAAAGCCUUAAGCUUAACUAAAGGAUUGCAUAACGAACUAUCUAGCUAGAGUACAGGAGAGGAAAGCGGAAUUCCUAGUGUAGCGGUGAAAUGCGUAGAUAUUAGGAAGAACACCAGUGGCGAAGGCGGCUUUCUGGACUGAAACUGACGCUGAGGCUCGAAAGCGUGGGGAGCGAACAGGAUUAGAUACCCUGGUAGUCCACGCUGUAAACGAUGA